UACGAAGGGGGCGAGCGUUUGUUCGGAUUUACUGGGCGUAAAGGGCGCGCAGGCGGCUCAUUUUGUCAGGCGUGAAAGCCCCGGGCUUAACCUGGGAACUGCGUUUGAUACGGAUGGGCUAGAGUUCGGGAGAGGAGAGUGGAAUUCCCAGUGUAGAGGUGAAAUUCGUAGAUAUUGGGAAGAACACCGGGUGGCGAAGGCGGCUCUCUGGACCGAUACUGACGCAUGAGGCGACGAAAGCGGGUGGGAGCAAACAGGG
rnacentral:rRNA from 1 species